UACGAAGGGGGCUAGCGUUGCUCGGAAUCACUGGGCGUAAAGCGCACGUAGGCGGCUUUCUAAGUCAGGGGUGAAAUCCUGGAGCUCAACUCCAGAACUGCCUUUGAUACUGGGAAGCUCGAGUCCGGAAGAGGUGAGUGGAACUGCGAGUGUAGAGGUGAAAUUCGUAGAUAUUGGGUGGAACACCGGUGGCGAAAGCGGCUCACUGGCCCGGUUCUGACGCUGAGGCGCGAAAGCGUGGGGAGCAAACAGG
rnacentral:rRNA from 1 species